UGAUCGUAAGGACAUGUGGAGCGCUUAGAAGUGAGAAUGCCGGUGUGAGUAGCGAAAGACGGGUGAGAAUCCCGUCCACCGAUUGACUAAGGUUUCCAGAGGAAGGCUCGUCCGCUCUGGGUUAGUCGGGUCCUAAGCUGAGGCCGACAGGCGUAGGCGAUGGAUAACAGGUUGAUAUUCCUGUACCACCUAUAAUCGUUUUAAUCGAUGGGGGGACGCAGUAGGAUAGGCGAAGCGUGCGAUUGGAUUGCACGUCUAAGCAGUAAGGCUGAGUAUUAGGCAAAUCCGGUACUCGUUAAGGCUGAGCUGUGAUGGGGAGAAGACAUUGUGUCUUCGAGUCGUUGAUUUCACACUGCCGAGAAAAGCCUCUAGAUAGAAAAUAGGUGCCCGUACCGCAAACCGACACAGGUAGUCAAGAUGAGAAUUCUAAGGUGAGCGAGCGAACUCUCGUUAAGGAACUCGGCAAAAUGACCCCGUAACUUCGGGAGAAGGGGUGCUCUUUAGGGUUAACGCCCAGAAGAGCCGCAGUGAAUAGGCCCAAGCGACUGUUUAUCAAAAACACAGGUCUCUGCUAAACCGUAAGGUGAUGUAUAGGGGCUGACGCCUGCCCGGUGCUGGAAGGUUAAGAGGAGUGGUUAGCUUCUGCGAAGCUACGAAUCGAAGCCCCAGUAAACGGCGGCCGUAACUAUAACGGUCCUAAGGUAGCGAAAUUCCUUGUCGGGUAAGUUCCGACCCGCACGAAAGGCGUAACGAUUUGGGCACUGUCUCAACGAGAGACUCGGUGAAAUCAUAGUACCUGUGAAGAUGCAGGUUACCCGCGACAGGACGGAAAGACCCCGUGGAGCUUUACUGUAGCCUGAUAUUGAAAUUCGGCACAGCUUGUACAGGAUAGGUAGGAGCCUUUGAAACGUGAGCGCUAGCUUACGUGGAGGCGCUGGUGGGAUACUACCCUAGCUGUGUUGGCUUUCUAACCCGCACCACUUAUCGUGGUGGGAGACAGUGUCAGGCGGGCAGUUUGACUGGGGCGGUCGCCUCCUAAAAGG
rnacentral:rRNA from 1 species